CGAAUAUAAAAUUAUACAUAGUUGAAAAAUUAGAAAAUCUUUUACAAAUAAAAGGAAAGUAGGAACCCUGUAUAAUAUUCCAAUUAUUGCAUGUUUAUAUAUAUAUACAAUUGUAACAAGUUGAAUAGUCUAUCAAAAACACUGUAUAGAGAGAGUAUUCAAAUUACUGUGGAAAUUUUGGAAAAUAAUAAUUAAAUGUAGAUGGUGCACAAAAAGAAAUAAAAAUAAAAAUAAUGAAAUGUACAUUUUGUAAAUCUUUGGUCCCAUAAAAAGAUCUAGUAGAGUAGUAGUAGUAAUAAGAAAAGAAGUUCAAAAAA
rnacentral:lncRNA from 1 species